rnacentral:lncRNA from 13 species
GUUAAUUGCACCUAGAUCCCCCUUCCCCUCUCAUGUCUUGUGCCUUGGGGGAUGGUGGAUGGAAGGACCAGUGGCGUGGCUAAUACCAGAGCUUUGGACAGAUGACCUCAGCUGCAGCAGAUGGUGACCUCAUCCCGCUUGCCUUCCGGGGAUCCUUCCAUUCCUUCAGUAGUAGUAGGCACACAGAUAAAAGAGCAGAUGACNNNNNNNNNNAUGAAAUAAAAAUAUUUAAAAAAUAUUGUUAAAAGUGGAACCAACACGAUUCAGCUUUUGGCCUUUAAACAAAGAUUAUUUCAUUGAAUUCCAAUGUCCUCCCAAGAGUUGCUAUUUCUCCUCUCUACUUCAGUUUGCUCCUCAAUUCAUGCACCUUGGUUGGAGAGCGAGAUAGCGAGCAGGGCUCCCUUCCCUAGAACAGAACAGUGCCUCAGCCUACAGGAAAAGCCAGACAAGCUAGACACACCGACGGGACACAUUUUUCAUAGAUCCUGGAUAUGAUUAUGAUUAUGAAUUCUCAUUUAUUGCAAUUGUCAAUGUUCCGGGGGGAAAUGUGAGCAAGCGCCAUAUUCAAACGCUUUCCCCUCAAUCAAAAGGAAAUAAGAUUAGAGUGCACAUAUAAUAACAUUAUUCCGGCUGUGUAAGAGCAUUGGAAUGUUACAACGUCAAAAAGCAACGGUAGUGUUCUAUUUGAUUUGAAAUAUGUUGAUAUGCAAAGCCAACACUUCAGUAUAAAGGUAGCUAUGUUUUUUGAUGGUGAAUAUGGAAUGAUGUCCAUACUAAAAGUAGGCAGUUAUAAUAACACUAUGUUUUCAAAAGGCUCUCCAUGUGUGUACUGUCGAAACAUAAACUAAAGUGUUGGGGUCGGGGUGGGGGCUUUUAUGUAGAUGUUCAAAUGCAAUCAAAUUGUGUAGCUAUCCUGUUUUAUAAAGAUUUUGCAUUGCCAAUAAAUGAAUGUGGCAAAUAUCCAUAACUUCUUAUUGUCAAACAAUUCUGUUCAACCAUGGAUCUUACAUCAAUAAUUCAGUUAUAGAUUAUUACAUCCAAGUUAGGUCAUAUCAAUGUCCCAUUGGAAGCUGUAUGUGUGGAAUGUGCCUUAAAGGACUAUAACAUUUCAGAUACAUUGUCCUGUCCCUUUAAAACCCACAACAUUAACCUUGCCCCUGCCUCCCCCCCGGAGUAGACUCCAUUCCAUGAAGACCAAAGGGAGGGAAGAGUUAAUUGCACCUAGAUCCCCCUUCCCCUCUCAUGUCUUGUGCCUUGGGGGAUGGUGGAUGGAAGGACCAGUGGCGUGGCUAAUACCAGAGCUUUGGACA